UACGUAGGGUGCUAGCGUUGUCCGGAUUUAUUGGGCGUAAAGGGCUCGUAGGCGGCGUGUCGCGUCGGGAGUGAAAGCCCGCUGCUUAACGGCGGGUUGGCUUCCGGUACGGGCAUCGCUGGAGUGCGGCAGGGGAGACUGGAAUUCCUGGUGUAGCGGUGGAAUGCGUAGAGAUCUGGAGGAAUACCGGUGGCGAAGGCGGCCCCCUGGACAAAGACUGACGCUCAGGUGCGAAAGCGUGGGGAGCGAACAGG
rnacentral:rRNA from 1 species